rnacentral:rRNA from 1 species
CGGAAGGGAUCAUUACCGAGUUUACAACUCCCAAACCCCUGUGAACAUACCACUUGUUGCCUCGGCGGAUCAGCCCGCUCCCGGUAAAACGGGACGGCCCGCCAGAGGACCCCUAAACUCUGUUUCUAUAUGUAACUUCUGAGUAAAACCAUAAAUAAAUCAAAACUUUCAACAACGGAUCUCUUGGUUCUGGCAUCGAUGAAGAACGCAGCAAAAUGCGAUAAGUAAUGUGAAUUGCAGAAUUCAGUGAAUCAUCGAAUCUUUGAACGCACAUUGCGCCCGCCAGUAUUCUGGCGGGCAUGCCUGUUCGAGCGUCAUUUCAACUCUCAAGCACAGCUUGGUGUUGGGACUCGCGUUAAUUCGCGUUCCUCAAAUUGAUUGGCGGUCACGUCGAGCUUCCAUAGCGUAGUAGUAAAACCCUCGUUACUGGUAAUCGUCGCGGCCACGCCGUUAAACCCCAACUUCUGAAUGUUGACCUCGGAUCAGGUAGGAAUACCCGCUGAACUUAAGCAUAUCAAUAAGCGGAGGAA